rnacentral:pre_miRNA from 1 species
AAAGUACUCCCUCCAUCCCAAAAUUCUUGUCUUACAUUUGUCUAGAUACGGAUGUAUCUAAUACUAAAAUGUGAUUUGAUACAUCCGUAUCUAGAAAAAUCUAAGACACGAAUUUUGGGACGGAGGGAGUAUGUG